CUUCUCUGCCCCAGGUUGUGCAGAGGGAGCUCCUUGGGGUGGAACCCCAGGAACAUCCCCCAGGAUGAAAUCACAGUAUCAUGAUCUUAACAACCCACCCUGCUACCCUGAGAACCAACAGAAGGCAACAGACAACCUUCCCAGAUCUUCCCUGUGACUGGCCAAAUCCCUUUACCGCAAAUGCUACGGAAGUAAACAACGCCAAGUUUGCCAGCGCUGUUUCUGUGUUGUCUUAGGAGCCUCCAAUUGCAGCAAUAAUUUUCUCCGUGGAAGAGUCUGUGGAAUAGAAGCAGCCCAGGUCUUGGCCACAUACUGUUGGGUUCUAGUAGAGUCUGG